AGAGAGAUUUUUGCUCCCUUUUAUGUUUUGUAUUUCACAUCUAUCUCAGAGAGAGGAAGCUUUUUCUCUUGUACUUUCGAUCAAAUUAUAUCGGCUUUUUGUUUCUGAUUUUGAUCGGAUAAUAAAGUUCCGGCUUGAUUAGAUUGUUUUUGCUUUCCGUUUUGCGAAUUACCUUUUUCUGAGUAUUUGUGGGUUUAUGUUUUGAUGCUCUUCUUAUGCCAUAUUAAAAUCGGUUCUUCUUAUAUCAAAGAGUAUUAAGUUUUGCUAAUCCUUGGUGGAGCGAAGAUUCUUCACAGAUUGAAAUAUGGAUUUGGUUAUUCCGGCGAUAAUGUUAAAGAGCCUUAUUGAAGGUGAAGGGUAUUUGGUCUCGAGUUUGAGAUGAGCGGUGGCUAAUCUUACGGAUGCAAGAAGACUUUUGGUUAAUCGUGAUCUUGCAGUGAAAGGAGUUUACAUGAUGGUUUUUGAUAAAGAUGACUUUGAUCUGAUGGAUUUCUUCAACUUGUAUGGUUUGAUUUCAUCGGAUUUCUGCUUUUCGGCGAAGCUCUGUUCGGCUACUUGUCGGCGGUAUCUUCUCAGUAUCAUCCUAAUCUUCACCUUAGCCUACCACGUGUGUUACAUGUGUUUGAUCUUUGUUAAUCGCUAUCCUUUAAUUUGAAUGGGUUUAUGUUGGGCUUAACUUUUGAAUGGUUAUGGGCCUUAGAACCUUUUUGUAAUUUGUCCUUUGGACUUUGUUAUAAUCAAGUAGAAAAAAAAUAAAAAA